rnacentral:sRNA from 1 species
AUGCUCCUAUGUUGUGUUAAGUGUUGGCAGAUAUCUGGACCCCGCCCUAGCGGUCCGGAACUUGAACCCCGGAACUUCCCCCUCCCCAUAAGAAGUCCGGGGUUUUUUUUGCCCGCGA